UACGAAGGGGGCUAGCGUUGCUCGGAAUCACUGGGCGUAAAGCGCACGUAGGCGGAUCGUUAAGUCGGGGGUGAAAUCCUGGAGCUCAACUCCAGAACUGCCUCCGAUACUGGCGAUCUUGGAGUCCGGGAGAGGUGAGUGGAACUGCGAGUGUAGAGGUGAAAUUCGUAGAUAUUCGCAAGAACACCAGUGGCGAAGGCGGCUCACUGGCCCGGUACUGACGCUGAGGCACGAAAGCGUGGGGAGCAAACAGG
rnacentral:rRNA from 1 species